rnacentral:rRNA from 1 species
UACAGAGGUCCCAAGCGUUGUUCGGAUUCACUGGGCGUAAAGGGUGCGUAGGCGGUCGGGUAAGUCUGAUGUGAAAUCUCACAGCUUAACUGUGAAACUGCAUUGGAUACUAUCCGGCUCGAGGAAUGGAGGGGAGACUGGAAUACUUGGUGUAGCAGUGAAAUGCGUAGAUAUCAAGUGGAACACCAGUGGCGAAGGCGGCUCGCUGGGCCGGUCCUGACGGCUGAGACGCGAAGGCGUGGGGAGCGAACGGG